rnacentral:rRNA from 1 species
AUGCCUCGUCAUCUAAUUAGUGACGCGCAUGAAUGGAUUAACGAGAUUCCUACUGUCCCUAUCUACUAUCUAGCGAAACCACAGCCAAGGGAACGGGCUUGGAAUAAUUAGCGGGGAAAGAAGACCCUGUUGAGCUUGACUCUAGUCUGGCAGUGUAAGGAGACAUAAGAGGUGUAGCAUAAGUGGGAGAUAUAUUAGUUUCGGCUAUAUAUAUCAAAAAUGAAAUACCACUACUCUUAUUGUUUCCUUACUUACUUGAUAAAAUGGAACGUGUAUCAUUCACUUAGCUAUUACACGGAUAUAUUUAUAUAUUUUAUGGUAUUUUGUUUUGAUGCGAGCUUCUUGUUUAAAGUAUCAAGAGUUUGUUAUAUACACCAAACAAAUUACAAUUAAAUUUACUUUCCAUUAAUAAUGGUUUGUUAAAUAUUAUUUGAAUUUGGUAUAACUAUUAUACUCAGGUAUGAUCCAAUUCAAGGACAUUGCCAGGUGGGGAGUUUGACUGGGGCGGUACAUCUCUCAAAUAAUAACGGAGGUGUCCCAAGGCCAGCUCAGUGCGGACAGAAACCACACAUAGAGCAAAAGGGCAAAUGCUGACUUGAUCUCGGUGUUCAGUACAUACAGAGACAGCAAAAGCUCGGCCUAUCGAUCCUUUUGGUUUAAAGAGUUUUUAACAAGAGGUGUCAGAAAAGUUACCACAGGGAUAACUGGCUUGUG